rnacentral:rRNA from 1 species
GUCGAGGGGUAGAAAGGGACUAGUUUACUAAGAACUUUUGAGACCGGCGCACGGGUGCGUAACACGUAUGCAACCUACCUAUAACUGGGGCAUAGCUCAGAGAAAUCUGAAUUAAUUCCCCAUAAGACUGUAGAAUCGCAUGAUUCAGCAGUUAAAGUUCCGGCGGUUAUAGAUGGGCAUGCGUUGUAUUAGCUAGUUGGUGAGGUAACGGCUCACCAAGGCUACGAUACAUAGGGGUUCUGAGAGGAUGAUCCCCCACACUGGUACUGAGACACGGACCAGACUCCUACGGGAGGCAGCAGUAGGGAAUAUUGGUCAAUGGACGCAAGUCUGAACCAGCCAUGCCGCGUGCAGGAAGACGGCCCUCUGGGUUGUAAACUGCUUUUAUAUAGGAAGAAACCCCUGGAUGCGUUCGGGGCUGACGGUACUAUAUGAAUAAGGAUCGGCUAACUUCGUGCCAGCAGCCGCGGUAAGACGAAGGAUCCAAGCGUUGUCCGGAUUUACUGGGUUUAAAGGGUGCGUAGGCGGAUAUUUAAGUCAGUGGUGAAAUCCCAUAGCUCAACUAUGGAACUGCCAUUGAAACUGGAUAUCUUGAAUACGGUUGAGGUAGAUGGAAUAUAACAUGUAGCGGUGAAAUGCUUAGAUAUGUUAUAGAACACCGAUUGCGAAGGCAGUCUACUAAGCCGUGAUUGACGCUGAGGCACGAAAGCGUGGGGAGCGAACAGGAUUAGAUACCCUGGUAGA